rnacentral:rRNA from 1 species
GAGUUUGAUCCUGGCUCAGGAUGAACGCUAGCGGCAGGCCUAACACAUGCAAGUCGAGGGGUAACAUAGUAGCUUGCUACUGAUGACGACCGGCGCACGGGUGCGCACCGCGUAUGGAACCUACCUUUUACAGGGGAAUAGCCUUUGGAAACGAAGAUUAAUGCCCCAUAGUAUCCUUAUACAGCGUUGUAUUUUGAUUAAAGCCUUCGGGCGGUAGAAGAUGGCCAUGCGUCCCAUUAGUUUGUUGGUAAGGUAACGGCUUACCAAGACUACGAUGGGUAGGGGCCCUGAGAGGGGGAUCCCCCACACUGGUACUGAGACACGGACCAGACUCCUACGGGAGGCAGCAGUGAGGAAUAUUGGACAAUGGAGGAGACUCUGAUCCAGCCAUGCCGCGUGCAGGGAGAAUGCCCUAUGGGUAGUAAACUGCUUUUAUACAGGAAGAAAAAGAGCUACGUGUAGCUUAUUGACGGUACUGUAAGAAUAAGGACCGGCUAACUCCGUGCCAGCAGCCGCGGUAAUACGGAGGGUCCGAGCGUUAUCCGGAAUUAUUGGGUUUAAAGGGUCCGUAGGCGGGCGAUUAAGUCAGUGGUGAAAGUCUGCAGCUCAACUGUAGAAUUGCCUUUGAUACUGGUCGUCUUGAGUUAUAGUGAAGUUGCCGGAAUAUGUAGUGUAGCGGUGAAAUGCAUAGAUAUUACAUAGAACACCGAUUGCGAAGGCAGGUGACUAACUAUAUACUGACGCUGAUGGACGAAAGCGU